UGGCAUGCUGCAAACAACAGGUGAGAACACGCCCUUUACUCCUCUGCUUCCCGCAUCCCUGCAAGGUCAUUUCCAUGGGCCCCGCCAUACCCAGGGAACAAACACCCAGGGCUGGGCCAAAGAGAGAGAGUGGUUGCUGAGGUCGCCCACACCCCACCUGGUGGGCGGCAGACAGCACAAGGAUUUGAGUCCGCAUUCCUAUGACCUCAUUCUCAGGCUGCUCCUGCCCAGUCAGUGUCCCCAGUGGCUCACGGGACAGCGAGGCCAGGGGACAUCUGGGCAGCAGAUGUUCGCCUUCUGCUUCCGCUUUCUGUCACUGCUUGUCCCCCUUGGCCAAAUGGCUGUGAGUCUGCAAAGGCCUGGCUCUCUUUCUGCCUGCCUCUCCCUGCUGGCUCCGCUUUCCUCUGGUCCUGGUCUUGCUGCUCUCUGGCUGGAUGUUCUCUCCGCCUCUCGGCCUCCCUGUCCCCUGCCUUCCCUGUCACUCCCUUCUCUCUGUCUUCCCUCCUUCUACUUCUCUCUCUCUCCCUCUUCUCUCCCUCUGCCCAUCCCAGACAGCCUUCCCCACAGAGGGGCUCCUUGCCCCUCACCUGCCUGUGACAUCACUCACCUGUGACAUCACUGUGCCUUGUGCCCAGACACAACAAGCUGCCAGCGGCCGCUCUGACCGAAGUCUCUCCCUCUGCACUCUGCUGCUAAUCUACCCAGCUGCAGGCCCCUGGCCAAUUGCAAGAGCUUUAUCAGGACCUGUGGGCAUGGGAGCCCAUCGGGGAGACUGGAAACUUUCCCUUCAAGCUGCAAAUGUCCUUGUUGGCCUGGCUCCUGUCCCCAUCUCUGACCACCGUGGCCCACCCUGACAGUCCAGCUGGGAGGCCUGGACCCCUCUCCUCUUGUUCUCUCUGCCUCCAAAAGCCUUUUAGGAGGUGGAAGGCCCCUCAGCGGGUGUCCUGUUUUGUACCUGGGGAAACUGAGAGCUGGGGAGGGUCUGUCAUGUACAUGGUGCUCCCCAGAGCCUAGAACUGUGGCUGGCACCCCACAUCCCUUAUGCUUCAGCUAGAUCUGUGUCUUUGUUGCAUAAAUCAGCAGACGGGGCUCAGGAGGUGCAAUGAGUAGUAUCCCAGGCUCACACAGCUUAAGGAUCAGCUUAGGGCUCCAACCACAAACUCUCUGACCCCAAAGCCCAAGAUUACAGCCUCAGCCAGUAGCUAAAAUAGUGUCAGACAUCAGUCUGGUGUUUAACUGUAUCUCUUGUCUGAGCAUCCUGGCCUCCCCCAGCCUGGACAAUCAUAGGUCAGGACGCCUUUGCCUGCUGCCGAAGUGCCCUGGUUGUCAACCUGUUUCCCACCCUCCAGGGCAGAAGGAAGGGGCCUCCCAGCUCCCACAAGACUCCAGGAGAACUGAGAAGCAGGAAGGUCACAGCGCCAGCAGACACUCCAGCCUCCACAGCCCUGGCUGCCGCCCUGGACAGAAUUAGCUGAGCGCCGGGAGGGGAGCGGGACUCGCUUCCUCCCUGGUCCCACACCCACGUGGGGCUCCUGCUGAGUCACCACGGGAGCUGAGCACUCACCCCACCAUGAUGUGCUGUCUCACCAAAGGCCCAGAGCAAUUAGCUAGGAACUGAAACCUCCAAAGCCGUGAGCCAAAAGCCAGAAAGCCACCCCGGCCCCCAGCAACAGGUCCAGUAUCAGCCCGGCCACCAGCCCAGUGCACAAAGCCUCCGGGAAGACAGCCGUGCCUCUUCUCAUAAACCCUGGCCGGCCCUGGAGGUGGCCAGUAAAUCAGUGCUUAUCUCCCACUGGUCUGGGAGGCCCAGGACUCCGUACACUUAAUCCUCUGAAGACAGCCUGCAGCCCACUCGUGCAGUUAAUCCCGAGCUGUGUACACAGCACAUCUGGAAGGAGUCAGGCGUGGGAGCAUUCACGUAGGCUGCUCAGGAUGUGGUCGGAGAAGCUGCCGAGGGAUCAAUUUGUCCCCAAGCCAGGAGCCAGCCUGGGACAUGCAUGGGGCUUUGCUCCCUCCUCCAUCUCUCUGUCAGAUGAAUGAGGAGAACACAUCACCAGGACCUUAAAGUCAUACCAGGUACAUGAGACCCAGCAGGCCAUCUCGGCAGGAACCUUCGAGCCCUUGGCUGCUGGGGUUUAAUACGAAUAGCAAUCAAUGUGCUGACUUCAUUUUACUGAGCACCUACUAAGUGUGCUAGGACACUGAGGGACGCUUUGUGAGCCUCACCUGCCCCAAAACCUGUCAGACGGACUUCUUCAUGCCAUUUCAGAACUGAGAAGCUGAGGCCCAGCCAGGCUGAGAGCUUCCCCAAGGUCAUGUGGCUAGUAAAGGACAGAGAUGAGGUCUGAACCCAAAUUAAGAAUCAAAUGCUCUUUCUUUUACACUUCACAGCCCCCACUUAGCAAAUGUCCUUAGAUCUCUGACCCCACACCUACCCAGGGCCUCCAUUCAUUAUCUAUAAAACAAGGAUCUUGGUACUGAUGUUGACAAAGUCUCCUGUCCUGCUUUAAAGACUCUGUAGUUGAGACAGCCAAGUGUUCCUUCCCAGGUCUGGGGAUAAUAAAAAGCAGCAUGACUUGGUUCCAUGCUGUGUGGCUCUAGGAAAGUUACUUUGACUCCCUGAGCUGUGAUCGAAUCCUGAUAAAACGGCAAUAAUAAAACUUUCAUUGCAGGGAAUUUGGGGCCAGGGGUCCUGAAGAAGGGAUCUCUGGGGACCCCAUACAGCUCUAAGAUCUCUGGAUCUAGGGCUCAAUUUACCGUCCUGCCCCUGCCACCCAAGAGCAAGACCAGAUUCUUCCUGACUGCAACAAGUUUUCCCAAGCCUCACAGUGACUCAGAGCCCUGCUUGGUGUUGGGCAGACCAGGUUCAAAGGGCUUCUCUGGUCCUUGUCUGGAACAUGGGGUUUGUAUUAUCACCCUGCUCUGGAGGGGACCGUGAACGCAACAACAAACAGCAAUGUGGAUAUGGUACCUGGCACGCAGUAGGUGCUCAGUAAAACUCAAACAGUGAUUUUCUGUGGAAGCCGCCAUGUCCUUGUCCCACAGUGGGGCCUGAGAGGGAGGCUGGGCCCCAUCCUCCUCCCCAGCAUCCCCACAGCCUCUACAGAGUCUCGGCAAAGCAUCCUUCACAGUUUAUUAAAGCCUUUCAGUGGGGUGUUCAGGGCACUGAAGCUUAAGCCAGAGGUGGCCUGGCUGUGCGACCUCCAGGCUUCUGUCUCUACUUCUGGGACCUGCAGGUCAGCCGACUCUGCCGUGCAGGAGAACAGCCUAACUGGUGGGCCUGGAAAGCCAGCCAGCAGUGGUCCUUCAUCCUCAUUUCACAGAUGAGAAGACUGAGAUUCCAACUUGGAGAUCUUCCCCUAAGCACCCAGCAAUCCAGAAAUAUUUACUGAACACCUACUAUAUGCGGGGCCCAGAUGAGCCCAGGGACACAGCAGAGGACAGAACAGACACAUUCUGCCCCUGGGAGGGGGCCUGAGGGUACCCAACAGAUAAGUAAAUUCAUACAUGACAAAGAACGCAAGGGCUCUGGAAGCCAACUGCCAUACACUGGCUGUGUGACCUUUGGCAAGUCACCAUACUUCUCUGUGCCUCAAUUUCCCUAUCCGAAAAAUAGGGGUGCUAGUAGCUCCUCCCCGACAGGGGGUUUACAAGGAUUAAAUGAAUUUAUGUUGGUAAUGGUUUAGAAGCAUGUCUUGUUCACGGGAAGCAUUGUGUAAAUGUUGGGAAAAUAAAUGAAUAUAAUAGCACAUAGUAAGAUGUACAGGAAAUAAACUGUAAAAAGGAGCAGAGCAUAGAAAGUUAGGGGCCACAGGUUUAGGAAGAGGUGAUAUUUGAAUGGAGACCUAACUAAGGGAGAGGGAGGCAUGCACCUAUCUGAUGGAGAAGAAUUUCAGGCAGUGGGAAUGACAAGUGCAAAGGUCCUGAGACAGCAGCAGAAUUAACAGCUACAAGAAAUGGCACAGGCUCCUGCAUUCAUCCAUUCACUAAAAAAGCUGUGAAUGGGCACUUUCUAUGUGCUGCCUCCUUCCUAGAGCUGUUAGAGUAAGUUGAUCCCAUCCCUGCCCUCCCAGCGGGGUGGGGAUCAAGAUGUGAUCUAAAGUCUGAACUUCCUGCAAACUGGCCAUGCAGAACUAUAUUCGCGAUAGGGUGGGAUUUGCCACAGUCCUCACCCUUCCCUGUUGUCCCCUGGACUCUAGGCCAAUAAGUCACCUUGAGUUAAUCAUGCUGUUUACCCUGGUCUCUGCUGUUGCAGAAAGAAGAGCAGUCCAGUGAGAAGGAUGAAGCGAGCCAUUCCUGCUUUCAGCUUUCAUGAGAGGGCACACAUGUCAUUGCAGAAGUGAACAACACACAUUCAGCAUUCGUGUCUCCCGUUGGGCCCAGCUGGUUGCUGAGUUGUGGCCCUGGGUCGGUCCAAAGUGAAGGGAAAGUGGCUGGGAGACAAGGGGGAGCUCGUGGAGGAGGUGGUGUCUGAGCUGAGUUUGGAGAGCACAAAGCCUUUGCCAGAUGGAGCAACAGGGAGGAGGGCUGUGUGUGCCAAGUCACAGGGGCUUGAUGAAGUGGGGUUGGCAUGGGUGUGACAGGGACAUACUGAGGAGAGAAGAGGGGUUCAGAUUGUAUGGCCCCCUGAAAGUCAUCAACUGUCUGCUGUGGGCAGUGGGAGCCAUGGAUGGUUUUAAGCACUGGGUACUCAUCCCUCUAGAAGGAUUCCGGUUCCUACCUGGAUGUGUGUUGAGGACCACACAGGAGCAAAGGAGAAUGGAAGAGAAGGACAGUGAGGGCCUGGUGAGCUGAAGGUGAGGAACAAUCUUUUGAGGUUCCGGGAACCUGUGUUUCUCUCAGAGAACUGUGGAGUUUGUCAAUCUCAUUUGUGUUCAAGAUUUUCCUUAGUAGCAUAUGAGUGGGUUUGUUUCCAGAGCCAUAUCCAUAGCAACCACCAAUGCUCCAAGAAAGGUCUUGAAAGAGCAGAUGAAUGAGGACCAGAGACACUCAGAUGAGUCCUCCCAGGAGAAGCCAGUCCCUGGCCUUGAGCCCCGCCUCCCACCAGAGUCCCUGAUGCUGCAGAUGAAAUCUGGUCACCAUGGAGAUGCCGAUUCCCCAUUCCCAGGCCUAACUGACCCCGGCCCUUCAGCAGAGGCAGGGGAGAGAUGCGAGGAAGAUGGUGCUGAGAGUCACAGCCAGACCUGAGCUUGAAAGGCUGGCGGGCACUUCCCAGGACAGGUGCAGGAAGCACCAGGAGAUGAAGGAGCAACCUGUGAGGUCGGAGUUCUGGAUCCCGGAAAGGCAUCCCUAGGCCCCAAAUGAUGCUGCCAGCUUUACUGUGGUGCCUGGAAUCUAGUUUGAGUUCUAGGGCUCACCCCCGCCACCCCACCCCACCCCAGUACAAUGCAGGGGAAGGCAGGGUUGGAGAGGAAGAAGGAGCAGGAGGAGGAAGGUGUCAAGAGAAAGAGAAAGGGGCUUUGGGGCCGAGAUUAUACAACAAAAUGACAGCAGGAUCAGAAUUGGACAUCAGCUCUUCUUACUUCAUCAGAUCCGGUCAGUGGUUGCUGGGUGGAAGUAAGUGUGUGUGUGUGUGUGUGUGUGUGCGCGUGUGUGUGCGCGUGUGUGCAUGCAUUAGCAUUUACAUGUGCCUGGAGAGGCUGUGGAGGGGACAGGGAGCACAGAGGAGGGGGGAAGCACCAGGAGGGAAAGUGGGGUCCCUCCCUGGGCAGGAGCACCAGUUCCCUUCUCCUGGGCCAGCCCAGAGAGAGCGGGAACCUGGGGUUACUGCAUGAGGACAGGGCCUCUGGGCUCCUGGGAAGUCCUGGGUGGGUUCAGUAAAGGGUUUCUGGGAGGCCUCAGAGCACAAGUGCUCCAAGUCCAGCCCAUUCCUUGUGCUCAAGGAGCCCAGUGCCCCCAACAUGGGACUCAAGGCCCCCUGGGCUUUGCUCUGUGAGUUCCUCUGUCUAUUCUUUUCUUUUCUUCCUCUCUUUCUUUCUCCCUCUCUCUCUCUUUCUUUCUUUCUUUCUCUCUUUCAAUACUGGGGAUUGAACCCAUCCCUUUUUAUCUUUUUUGUUUUGAGACAGGGUCUCAUUAAGUUGCUCAGGCUGGGCUUAAAGUUGAGAUCCUCCUGCUUCAGCCUCCAGAACAGCAAGGGUUACAGGUGUGCACCAUCACUCCUGGCUCAGGGUGUGGUGCGCUUUUCACAAGAGUCCCCUGGCUCCUCCCACCCUCACUGUGCCCUGUGCACUAAUCACACAGGGCAGGCCCCAAAUGACAAGAAGAAAGAACAACCCCAUGAGGGGUGUCUGGCCCACCUCACAGAUUCUCAGUCCAGGCCACCAGCCAGCCCCAGGGAGCCAGGGCUCAAAGUCAGAUCUACAGGUGCCCAAGGCCCGUGCUGUGAUAGAAGCCCCAGGCACUUUUUAAAAUGCCCCUGUGUCCUGUCACAGCGGCUCAGCAGCCCCAGACAAGGCUGUGAGAUGUGUCCACUUGGUUUCCCUUCCUUCCUCUCCCUCACAGCGAGUCCUGCUGAGGACUCAGAAGGGCUCACCCACUGCCCAUUGCCCAUGAGAAGAUCGCAAGCCAGGGACUGCACAGGACUUUAGGCCUGGGGUAGGCACCACCUGUCCCACCCCGCCUCCCCUCAGAAUGAGCCCUCAGGGCGGAUGCCCCUGAUCCCAAUUUUCAGAUGUGGAAGCUGAGGCACACACAGCCAGGCCACUGACCCAUGAUCCCACAGCUAGGGAGAGGUGAGAGGAGGAUUUGAAUCUGGACUGUUCUAACUCCACAGUCCACAACUCUGAUGACCAUGACUGUCCUUUGUGUAUGGUCUGUGGCUGGUCCCCUGGGCACAGAGCCUGCCAUCCUGCAUUGGUUGCCCACACCUGUGCCCAGGUCUGGCAGGUGAGCAACACAACGCACAUCUGCACCCCCACCCCACGAGACCCUCGGUGACCCCAACUCACUCUGGACAGCGCAGGCUGAGAGGCAGGAGGGGGUGCUGUGGGUCUGCCCAUCCCAGGCCAUCCUGAGAGACCCCAGAGCCCUAAGGUGCCUGGCACCCAGCCCAGGCUGCCUGUCCCAGGCGAAGGAACCUUGGGCUGCCAGGCAGUUCCCGCCCCUGGAAAUUUCCUAAAUCCAGCCCAGGCAGCUGGCAAAUGGGCUGGCACAGCUGCCAGCAGCCAGGAUGAUGGGGUUUGAGAGCCCAUGCUGUUCCCAGGCCCUGGGGAGGAGGCACAGGCUGCCCUGUGCUGUCACCCCUUCCAAGGCGAAGCCCAAUUUUGACCCUGGAGGGAUCUGGCUGGGAAAACUGCCCUCCACCCUCUGAGGCAAACAGAAAGCUGGUGUGAGACCAGAGGAGGUUCCAGGAUCCUGGUGGAGAGGCUCUAGGGUCUGCGGGUUUGCCACCCUCAUGUUAAAGAAAAGUCUCAGGGCCACAUCACACCCAGAUGCCAGCUCCCACCUGCCCCCUGGCUCGCUGUGUCGUCCUGGGCACCAGACACAGUCGCUCCAUCUGCAAAGCCGGCUGCGUGAGGCCGCACCCGGUCUGCAAAGGAUGUCACAGGCAAACCAGGACAGGCUGGUCACUCCAAGUACCCACAGAGACAAGCAUGCCCUGUGGCUUGAGGCUUAAAGAGAGGCACUCGGAAGUCAGAAAUUUGAAUCCCUGGCCAGCAGAACUUCUAGAGAGACUCAUCAAGUUCUUAGGAAGCACUUCCUGUUUCACUAAACCGAACUUGAACAACCUGCUGUGUUCAUCUCAGGCCUGGUUCAAGUCCCUGGAGUCACAUAGAUCAUAUCCGCCACCUCUCUCCAACGGUGGUGCACCCACUUCCUCACUUUGUCCUUAGCAAGCACUUUUUCUGCAACUUUUUUUUUUGGCAGUAUUAGGGAUUGAAUUUAGACCCUUCCCACUGGGCUAUAUCCCCACCCAUCCACCCUCUUUUAUUUUUAUUUUUUAUUAUGAGACAGAGUCUCACUAAGUUGCCCAGGCAGGGCUCAAACUUGCGAUCCUCCUGCCUCAGCCUCUGGUAGUCUUGGGAUUGCAUUAUUCUUACCCCCUUGCCAGCUGGCCUGCACUGGGUCAAUCAAUGGAGUCGCUUUCUCUGGAGAGUCUUUCUUGUAGGUUUGUCGAUUUGUUUGUUUGCUUAGGGACUGGUUUGGCCCUGAAAGAGGUGAAGAGUUCAAAAGAGGUUCGAUCCAUGGGGAACGGAAAUGAAAAGUGAGAGUGAAAGGAGAUAGGAGGAUGUGGGCUGGGGACAGACCUGGAGCCAGAACUGAGGGGGAAAUGCACACAGUAAGAAAUGUCCUAAACGCUGACGAAGGUAUGCUGCGCACUGGACUCCAGUCUGACGGGCAGACCAGCUACACAGGUAGCCGAGAACAGCCCCCUGGAAUGGAGGCUCCCUGAUGCCAGAGCUGCUUCCUCCAGAGGCCUGCACAGCGGGGACCCUUUGGGUCUGACCACGCCCAGCCUUGAGUUCCCGGAUGUUGUGAAGGCUCCAGUGAUGUUGUCCAGUACAGCAAUUCAGAAAAAGACACUUUCCCCCAGACAAGCCAGGGGAGGGGGUGACUGUUCAAUUCCAUCUAGACACACUCUUGUACCAUGGCUGGUUUAAUCUCAAGAAAUUUCUGGAACAUCUGAGAGAGGGCCUGAAGUCGUCCUCCUGUGAUUGCCUCUCUCUACACUCGUGAGGGACAGGCCUGGCGUCCUCACACAUGGCCGUUAACAUGUUCUAUGAAACACGAACCUGAGGAGGACACAGACCUCAGAUACGCCCCACUUACGUACUCACGGAGCCUGCCUCUUGUGGUCUAGGAGCCCUGUCUGGACUAUAAGUUGUUCAAGAGCCCCUCCCUCUCUGUCCUGGAGGAGAGGGCACCAAUGGAAUAAAAGCCCCGUGUCCUGCCCUUGCCUCCUACUUUGUGCUGGGCCCUGUGCUAAGCUCUGGUCCUACGUCAUUGGACUCCCAUAAGGGCCCUCUAAGGCAGGUGCUGCUAUGAUCCUCAUUUGACAGAUGGGGAAACUGAGGCUCAAACAGCUAUUUAAGAGGGUAGCUGCGUGCCAGUCACCUGUGUCAGGAACUGCCAAGGAUUCAGAUAGCACUUGCUUCUUCACGGAAACGACUCUUCCAGUUCCCUCUGUCAUCCAGGGGUAAAGACUGAGCCUUAGGUCCCAGGUAAAAGGCACGGUGCGGGGACCCAGAAUCAGGGGAGAGGACUGUGGAUGUACCAGGAAGGCAGAUUUGUGCCCCAGGUCCCCUUGGUGGCCCCAAAGGUGGAGCUGGACUCUGUGGGUCCUCCUAGAAAGACAGCAGGGCAGCAACAGGCCAGCUGGAGGGUUCCAGAGUUGCCUGGAUCUCAGCGAUGGAAGCCUGAGACCUCAAGGACCAUGUUGUGGAGGUGAGUGGCAUACUUGGGCAGCCCCUGGCAAUGCCCCCUUUUUGUGGAGUUAGUGGGGAUGGAACCCAGGAACUCCACUCUGAGCUACAUCCCCACCUCCUUUUUAUUUUUUACUUUGAGACAAGGCCUCACUAGGGCACUAAGUUGCCCAGGCUCAAACUUGUCAUCCUCCUGCCUCAGCCUCCCAGAGUGCUGGGAUUACUGGCCUGUACCACCAGGCCUGGCUUUUUUUUUUCUACUUGUCUUCAUCUCUGAAAUAAAGCAGUGCCAAAAUUCCUGGAGUGCCAAAGCCCUUCCCUCUGUCAACUGGCCCCAGCCUUCCUGGACUUAGGAAAGGGUCCAAAGGAAUUUUCCACCCUCCGCUCAAGAACCCAGCCUGCUGGCAUCAGGACUCCCCCCUCCCGGGCAGGAGUCCAGUCUCCUUCUGUGUAACACUCAUGGUCCUCCCCAGCCACCUCCCAAGGCCUAAGCGGCAGACAAAGAAGUCUUUGUCUCCCUCCUCCCUGCCUCCUUGUCCUCCUGCAAAGAACUCAGCCCAUGACAUCUCCGGCAGAGCACCCUCCACGCACACCCUUCAUACUGCUGCCUCGCUGAGGCCUGGGAACCACAGCUGUCAACCUCAGGAUCCUCCCUCUCUCUCUCUUUGCCUCCCAACUACCCUGACGACCGCCUCCCCGCACAACUCACAGGCAAAGACAGCAAAGCUCAGAGGGCUCAAGCAAUCUGCCCAGGGUCACACAGCUUGAACGUGGAGAAGCCAGGACUUGAAGCCAAAGCCAUGUUCAAGGUGUGGUGGUGAAGGGUGCAGAUGAUGGAGCCAGAUGCCCAAGUUCCAGUGCCAGUUCUGCCACAUAGUACCUGUGGGAGCUCUCCGUGUUUAAAUUCUGUGCCUCCAUUUCCCUAUCUGUAAAAUGGAGCGGUAAUACUGUGUAUUUCAUAGAGUUGAUAUUCGGUAUAAUAAGAGAAGGAAUGUAAAACACAUGGAACUAUGAUGCA